AUUGAACGCUGGCGGCAGGCUUAACACAUGCAAGUCGAGCAGAGUGAUGGUGCUUGCACUAUCACUUAGCGGCGGACGGGUGAGUAAUGCUUAGGAAUCUGCCAUUUAGUGGGGGACAACAUUCCGAAAGGAAUGCUAAUACCGCAUACGUCCUACGGGAGAAAGCAGGGGAUCUUCGGACCUUGCGCUAAAUGAUGAGCCUAAGUCGGAUUAGCUAGUUGGUGGGGUAAAGGCCUACCAAGGCGACGAUCUGUAGCGGGUCUGAGAGGAUGAUACGCCACACUGGGACUGAGACACGGCCCAGACUCCUACGGGAGGCAGCAGUGGGGAAUAUUGGACAAUGGGCGGAAGCCUGAUCCAGCCAUGCCGCGUGUGUGAAGAAGGCCUUUUGGUUGUAAAGCACUUUAAGCGAGGAGGAGGCUCUCCUAGUUAAUACCUAGGAAGAGUGGACGUUACUCGCAGAAUAAGCACCGGCUAACUCUGUGCCAGCAGCCGCCGUAACAC
rnacentral:rRNA from 1 species